rnacentral:rRNA from 1 species
UACGAAGGGGGCUAGCGUUGCUCGGAAUCACUGGGCGUAAAGCGCACGUAGGCGGAUUGCUAAGUCAGGGGUGAAAUCCUGGAGCUCAACUCCAGAACUGCCUUUGAUACUGGGGAUCUCGAGUCCGGGAGAGGUGAGUGGAACUGCGAGUGUAGAGGUGAAAUUCGUAGAUAUUCGCAAGAACACCAGUGGCGAAGGCGGCUCACUGGCCCGGUACUGACGCUGAGGUGCGAAAGCGUGGGGAGCAAACAGG